rnacentral:rRNA from 1 species
CCUACGGGGGGCAGCAGUGGGGAAUAUUGCACAAUGGGCGCAAGCCUGAUGCAGCCAUGCCGCGUGUAUGAAGAAGGCCUUCGGGUUGUAAAGUACUUUCAGCGGGGAGGAAGGUGUUGUGGUUAAUAACCGCAGCAAUUGACGUUACCUGCAGAAGAAGCACCGGCUAACUCCGUGCCAGCAGCCGCGGUAAUACGGAGGGUGCAAGCGUUAAUCGGAAUUACUGGGCGUAAAGCGCACGCAGGCGGUCUGUCAAGUCGGAUGUGAAAUCCCCGGGCUCAACCUGGGAACUGCAUUCGAAACUGGCAGGCUAGAGUCUUGUAGAGGGGGGUAGAAUUCCAGGUGUAGCGGUGAAAUGCGUAGAGAUCUGGGGGAAUACCGGUGGCGAAGGCGGCCCCCUGGACAAAGACUGACGCUCAGGUGCGAAAGCGUGGGGAGCAAACAGGAUUAGAUACCCCCGUAGUC